AGAGUUUGAUCCUGGCUCAGGACGAACGCUGGCGGCGCGCCUAACACAUGCAAGUCGAACGAGCGAGAGAGAGCUUGCUUUCUCGAGCGAGUGGCGAACGGGUGAGUAACGCGUGAGGAACCUGCCUCAAAGAGGGGGACAACAGUUGGAAACGACUGCUAAUACCGCAUAAGCCCACGGCUCGGCAUCGAGCAGAGGGAAAAGGAGCAAUCCGCUUUGAGAUGGCCUCGCGUCCGAUUAGCUAGUUGGUGAGGUAACGGCCCACCAAGGCGACGAUCGGUAGCCGGACUGAGAGGUUGAACGGCCACAUUGGGACUGAGACACGGCCCAGACUCCUACGGGAGGCAGCAGUGGGGAAUAUUGCACAAUGGGGGAAACCCUGAUGCAGCGACGCCGCGUGGAGGAAGAAGGUCUUCGGAUUGUAAACUCCUGUUGUUGGGGAAGAUAAUGACGGUACCCAACAAGGAAGUGACGGCUAACUACGUGCCAGCAGCCGCGGUAAAACGUAGGUCACAAGCGUUGUCCGGAAUUACUGGGUGUAAAGGGAGCGCAGGCGGGAAGACAAGUUGGAAGUGAAAUCUAUGGGCUCAACCCAUAAACUGCUUUCAAAACUGUUUUUCUUGAGUAGUGCAGAGGUAGGCGGAAUUCCCGGUGUAGCGGUGGAAUGCGUAGAUAUCGGGAGGAACACCAGUGGCGAAGGCGGCCUACUGGGCACCAACUGACGCUGAGGCUCGAAAGUGUGGGUAGCAAACAGGAUUAGAUACCCUGGUAGUCCACACCGUAAACGAUGAUUACUAGGUGUUGGAGGAUUGACCCCUUCAGUGCCGCAGUUAACACAAUAAGUAAUCCACCUGGGGAGUACGACCGCAAGGUUGAAACUCAAAGGAAUUGACGGGGGCCCGCACAA
rnacentral:rRNA from 1 species